rnacentral:rRNA from 1 species
AGAGUUUGAUCAUGGCUCAGGACGAACGCUGGCGGCGUGCUUAACACAUGCAAGUCGAACGGACUUAUUUUAGAUGAAGUUUUCGGAUGGAAUCUUUAAUAAGUUAGUGGCGGACGGGUGAGUAACGCGUGGGUAACCUACCCCUAUAACCGGGACAACAGCUGGAAACGGCUGCUAAUACCGGAUGAACUCUCGAACCGGCAUCGGUUUUAGAGCAAAGGAGGCCUCUAUUUAUAAGCUACCGAAUAGGGAUGGACCCGCGUCUGAUUAGCUAGUUGGUAGGGUAACGGCCUACCAAGGCGACGAUCAGUAGCCGGCCUGAGAGGGUGGCCGGCCACACUGGGACUGAGACACGGCCCAGACUCCUACGGGAGGCAGCAGUGGGGAAUCUUCCGCAAUGGGCGAAAGCCUGACGGAGCAACGCCGCGUGAAUGAAGAAGGCCUUCGGGUCGUAAAGUUCUGUCUUUUGGGAAGAAGGCUCUUUCUGUAAAUAAUGGGAAGAGAUGACGGUACCAAAGGAGGAAGCUCCGGCUAACUACGUGCCAGCAGCCGCGGUAAUACGUAGGGAGCAAGCGUUGUCCGGAAUUACUGGGCGUAAAGGGCGCGUAGGCGGGUAUUUAAGUCAGAUGUGAAAACUCUAGGCUCAACCUGGAGACUGCAUUUGAAACUGGAUAUCUUGAGGGCAGGAGAGGAAAGUGGAAUUCCUAGUGUAGCGGUGAAAUGCGUAGAUAUUAGAGGAACACCAGUGGCGAAAGCGACUUUCUGGACUGUACCUGACGCUGAGCGCGAAAGCGUGGGGA